GCUAGAGAGAUUUAGGAGAGCCACGGUCCACGGCUACGAGGAGAUGAUAAGAGAGUGAUGGCCAGGACAGACACAAUUUCUCAGAACUCUUAGGGUCACCUGGAGCACCUUGGGAGCCAGAGAUGCAGCCAAAGAGUGAACAAUGGUACCAAUCCCAAGACCCAUGUGUUAGGAAGAAACCAGCCAAGACUCAGAUCAGGACUGGGGAGUCUACCUCUCGUCUCCCUUCAGAGCAUUAUUUCCUUGUUUGCUAAGAGGGGCAGGAGCUGGAAAACCCAGCUAGCCCAUCUGAGAAGACUUCCUUGGAGAUGAGCUGGAGGAGGGAGGAGUAAGGCCUUGGAAGGAAACUCCAGGACAGAUGGGACUGUCUAGUUGCAAGAAAGCAAGCUCAGGGCUCCCAAUGAUUCCACAUUACGUGGUACAAUAGGAACCGAGAAAACUGAAGAGUUCAGAAUGCAGACGAAUUCCCAGAGCAGCGGGUCUCCACCUGUGGUCUGGGAAGACACACAGUUCCUAAGAUCCUUUCACGGGAUCUGUGAGGUAACAAAAUGACUUUCAUAAAAAUACUCAGAUGUUAUUUGCUUUUUUCCCUCAUUCUGUCAUGGUAUACGGUGGAUUUACAGAGGCCACAUGAUGUGCAAUCCGUGGUAACGAGCGGGAUGCAUGCUUGUGUAUCUUUGUGUUUUAAAAUUUUCUCAAUUUUUAUUUCUAGUACAGUGACUAGGAAUAGAUAUACCCUACAUAAGCCAAAGCUCUCUGGGGUUCUCAAUAAUUUUUUAAGGGUAUAAAGUUUGAGAACAGUUGCCCUAGGGGGACCACUAGUAGAAAAAAGGCAAAGAAGUAUAGCUAAAAGGCCGAUGUAGAAAUGAAAAUGGAUGUCUGAAUUUGGGGGGACUUGUUUCUAAUAGGGUAACUUAUUAGAAAUCAUCCUGGUCUGUCUAGGACUGAGGUUUCCUAGGACAUGAGGUUUUCAACACUAAGACCAGUUAAGUUCCCUGGCACACACCAGGACAGUCGGUCACCUUUUUUCUAACACUUCAAUCAUUUACUUCGGUUCCCUUUUCCUUACCCAAGUGUGAGUCCCUAAAGAACACAGGCCGCUUCUGCUCUAUGUUAAGGCCCCCAGAUGUAGGUAAGGGAGCUGGGAUUCCUGGCAUGCUAAGUAAAGGUAGCUACCAAAUUGUAAGGAUACCAUGUUUACAAAUGCAGAAAGCACCUGUGAGAAAAAUCUAAAAUAAGUGCUUCCUGUUAGAGUAUGGGGUUGCGGAUGAUUUAAACCAUGUUGCUCUGUUUAGUAAAACUUCUGUAAUAUUAUUUAAUAACUUUAAUAGUUACAAAAUAAAUGUAUCUGAAAUUAUAAUUGUGACCAGAUGGUCCUUUCUGAGCCAGACAGGACUAGAGAAUGACGGGAUGGAUCCUUUAAUCGACAUCUCUGAUCCGCAUGAUUAAUGAAGAAGUUUUUGUCCUUAGAUAUAAACUUAGGCCACGCAUGGGUCUUUCCAAUGGUAGCUGGGCGAACAAGGUUGGGGUGCUCCAGUGACGUUUUGGUUUUAUUUUUUAAAAUCAUGUUGGUGCUGCCCCCUACUGUCCUGAAAGGGGAAGGGCAGGACAAUAGAAAGUGCCUUGGGGCUUCCUGGCCAGGGAGUUUCUCUGCAGCCUUCAUCAGCCUCCAGCAUUUAGAGAGGAGCUUGCCCUCUCUUGGAAUCCAAACAGCCACAGGAGAUCCCAGGCAGAGGAGGCUGGGGCAGCACGACUCACUCCUGUCCACGGCUUCCCUGUCUUAUCUCUAGAUACCUUGCCGUGGGCUGGGACACGUGGGGGCUUUUGUGCCCAGCGCCAGGUGAGAAGGGAGAUACAGGAGCCAGGUGAAGAGCAGCAGGGGUGAUGAGGCGGCUGAGUCAGCCAGGCUGGGACCCCGUGCUUCUGUCUGGCAUGGCCAGUGGAGAUGUGGACAGCCCAGGGCAGAGGGGUGACCCUGAUGGGUCACACUCCUUCACCCCCAAGUUAUCUCAGGCUUACAAGUCAGGGCCUUAACUUCCAUGCCUUAUGGACACCUGGGCAGUGGCUAGUUCAACCCCAGUGAAGUCAGCAACUAGGUUUAGCCCUUAAGCCCAUCCUCCCUACUCUGCCAGUAUCUAAAAUCUCAAUCAACCAUGCCCCUUCCCAGGUUAAAACUUUUCAAUGACUGCGCCUCCUGAUCCAUGAGAUGAAGCCCCAGCCACUUGUUUUGUCUCGGCAGGUUCUUCCUUCAUAAUCGGGCUCUGCAUGACUUUCUGGCCCCGCUCUCCACUGCUCCCGCCUCGCAUGUGUGUUCCAGGCACAGUCAUGAUGCUAUGGCUUCGCAAACACGGUUGCAUUUGCAUGUGUGACUCCCCGACCAAUGCCAUGUUCUUUAGUCAUCAGCAUAACAUGCUGGUUAAAGGGGUGGGCUUGUGUGCCACACUCACCACGUUUAAACUCAGGCUCUACCGUUUAAAAGUUUGGUGACCAAGGCCAGCUUACAUAAUUUCUCUGUGCCUCUAAACAUCCUCAUCUGAAGAACAAGGAUGAGGACAACGGUACCCACACCCAGGGUUGUUGUGAGGGUUAAACGAGUUAACAACCAGAAUUGCUUAGGGCAGUGCCUGUCAUUUGGCAAACAAUAAAUAUCAUUAGGCAGAAUGUAAUAGCAAAAUGGUUAGAUCAGUGGUUCUAACCAGGAGCAGUUUUGCUCCCUAGGGGAUAUUUGACGAUAUCUAGAGAUUUUUUUUCCCAUUACUGGCAUUUAGUGGGUAGAGGCCAGAGAUGUUACUAAGCAUCCUACAAUGCACAGGCAGCGCCUCCCACAACAAAAUGUUAUCUGACCCUGAAUGUCAAUAGCGGCGAGGUUGAGAAACUGAGGGUUGGGUGGUCAGGCUCCAAUCUGUUUGGGUUCAAAUCCCAUCUCUGUCUUUAAUUUGAUGUAUAACCUUUGGCAAAUUACUUAAAAUUCUCUGUUCCUUAGUGUUCUUACCUGUAGAAUGGUGACAAUGUCAUGUGCUUGGGUUCUUGAGAAGGGUCAGUGCCCGGCAUGUGGUAAUCAUGCCUGGGAUGCCGGCCAUUUUUACUCACCUCUCUCCCCGUGUCCUCUCCCCUGCGAAGCCUUCUUUGACUCAGAGAAAAUGACUUUCCCUGUGCUCGUGGACUCUUGAUGCAUGAUAACCUCCUGCCCGUGUGUCUGUCUUUCCCACAGGUCUGUGGGCUCCUUGAGGGAGGAAUUUUGUCCUGCAGGUUGUGGCAGCCCUAGGACUGAGCACAUCUAGGUGUCCACCUGUGUCUGUGGUGAGAAGCCUGAUCAUUGCCAUGUGACUGCUUGCUCACUGUUGGUACCUGGUUGUAGAGAGCAGCUCUGUGAGUGGAAGGAGAAGGAUCCUGCCCUGGAGAGGGCCUGGCUGGUCCUCACCUGGGGUCUAUCAUUUGGUAACAGGGCUUCUGGAAGUGGUAGCAGAUCUGGGCCUGGUGGGCAUUUUGCUUCUCCUGGGUGGCAGCAGAAGUCUCUAGCUGGCAGACUGGGGACUGCCCAAAGGCUCUGACUCUUAGGAAGAGCACAGUGGAACAGAAAGCCCUUAUACCACCUUCGCUGGUGUAUUCGUCCAUUCUCACACUGCUAUACAGAGCUACCUGAGACUGGGUAAUUCAUGAAGAAAAGAAGUUUAAUUGACUCA